rnacentral:miRNA from 1 species
GUGAUUGGGUAUAUUUGGUUGUUUCUCUCUCUCUCUCUCUCUCUCUCUCUGUGUGUGUGUGUGUGUGAGAGAGAGAGAGAGAGAGAGAGAGAGAGAGAGAGAGAGAUGAGCAAACAUAUGCAGUUGA